GAAAGCGAUGCUAAUACCGGAUAACAUCUCAAUAACUCCGGUCUUUGAGAUCAAAGGUGGCCUCUCCAUGGAAGCUAUUGUUUGGAGAUGAGCCCGCGUACCAUUAGCUUGUUGGUAGGGUAACGGCCUACCAAGGCUACGAUGGUUAGCUGGUCUGAGAGGAUGAUCAGCCACACUGGAACUGACACACGGUCCAGACUCCUACGGGAGGCAGCAGUGAGGAAUUUUGCGCAAUGGGGGAAACCCUGACGCAGCAACGCCGCGUGAGUGAUGAAGGCUUUCGGGUCGUAAAGCUCUGUCAAGUGAGAAGAACCUGCCCUUUGCUAAUAUCACUGGGCACUGACGGUAUCACUGAAGGAAGCACCGGCUAACUCCGUGCCAGCAGCCGCGGUAAUACGGAGGGUGCAAGCGUUAUUCGGAAUCACUGGGCGUAAAGAGCGCGUAGGCGGUUUCUAAAGUCAGAUGUGAAAGCCCGGGGCUCAACCCCCGGAAGUGCAUUUGAAACUUAGGGACUUGAGUAUUGGGA
rnacentral:rRNA from 1 species